GGAGAAAUGAGCUGCAGUAGUUGUAACGGAUCUCCUGUUUUUAUCAGUAUCGAAGGCAGCAGUCUUGGAAAACAUUGAUAUGAAGAACCUCUGAAAUUCUGAAAGAAUGUCUUAAUGGACCAGUCUCAUUUUCUGCGACCUUCUUCAAAUGUAAACAACUAAAAAGGUUGAGGGCAGCCAGCGCCAAGAACAAAACACUCCAUUUUGGGUUGCUGAUGUUAGCAUCAAGUGUUCGAUGCUUUCUCAAUCCUAUGAGGUCAAAGAAUAGCACAGUGUUGGAUGAAUUGAAAGUGAAUGGUAGCGUGCAAAGGAGGAGAAGAUCACUGAAUGAAUGGAAGUGGACCUUUGAAGGGAUUGGAAGCCAAGAUGAAAAUUAUGAAAUCAAAAUUUUGAAGAAAGAAAGGCAAGUCAAUAAAUACCACAUCCAACGAUACUUAAGCAAAGCACUACAAACCAGUCUGAACAUUUUUGUUUUCAACUUGUGUGAAUGAAUAGAGUAAAUCCCAGAAAUGGAAAUGCCUUGAAAGAAAAAUGGAAUUGGUUGAAGUAACUGUAAUGCCAAAGUGUCCAUACAGUCUCCACGUCCAUGUGGAGAUAGUAAGGAUUGUAAAUGCUGGAAGUCAGUCAGUAGAUGUGAA